CAAAUGUGCCUGUUUUGGAUUUCGUUCCUCAGUUUCACUUGAAAGAGCACUAAAGUGGCUGUCCGACUGUCCGAAAAUAUAUUAUUCCGCUCACGUAGAAUAUGUGGUAUUUCCAUCCUUUGGUAAUCUCCAUGGAUGCUAACCUCCAGAUAUACAUCAAUAGGGCACAUGGCAUUGCGCCAAAUGCAAAUUGAUAAUUGUAAUUAGCAGCUUCUGAAGAUGACAGAAGAAAUUCUAGCGAAACUUAGCCGACAACGAACGGAAAAACACCCGGGUGAACACCAGCACACACAAAUAUAGAAAGUAAUUUACAUUUCUCUAAAACCACUAAAAUUCAGUAUAAGAAUUGUAUUCUACGAAAAUGCUCAGAAAUCAGUAGC